ensembl:snRNA U6 U6 spliceosomal RNA
GUGCUCGCUUCGGCAGCACAUAUACUAAAAUUGGAACGAUACAGAGAAGAUUAGCAUUGGCUAAUAUGCCCAUGUAUGAGACAAAAUGCAGGAACAGUUGAAACUAUUUUU